GAUCAUCAGCUCAUUGAAAUGAAGACUAUGUGCGUUGCUAGAAAAGACAGAAAAGGGGAACCGAUGAACCUCGUCCCCCAAAGGAUCUCCAAGCACAGAGGCAAAACUAUCCAGCAAUGUCCAAUCUGGCUUUGUGACAUCUGUACCCCUAAGAUGGACAGACACAGUGUGAUCAACAUUUGGCAGAAGGCUUCUCCUUGUUCACCAGUCUCCUGCAGCUCCGCAACCAAGGCCUCUCCUCAGUUCACCGCCACUGCACUGACCAAACUUCAGCAAGAAGAAACCGUGCAUGCUCUGCCUCGAAAAGACUGAGCAUGGCUUUCACUGAGCGGGAUCAGGUUGGCAAGGAUCACUGACGCUGAGCGUGGUAUUCCAAACUGCUAAUUUGCUAAAAUGAUUUACAAAAGGACUCCUUAAAACCCUGACACGAGCGAAGUAAACCCAACAAGGAAGAAAUGAAACAAAUAACCAUUGGUAGUCUGGACAUCGACAUGAGCUUCAAUCAUGAUCUGCCGUUUUUGACCACUGAACACAUUUUGUCACAGGGAGAAUGGACUUCACCGAGGUCAUGGGGUUCUCAGCACUGUAGUCCGAAGUCUCCAAGAAGUUUUUCAAACCCCAGCCACUGGGCAUUGGCCCACCUACAGAAGGAGAGGGCUGGGAGAAGCUAGCCCACAACUGAGGCACCUUGUAAGGAAGUUCCUGAACACAAC